rnacentral:rRNA from 1 species
UACAGAGGGUGCAAGCGUUAAUCGGAAUUACUGGGCGUAAAGAGCUCGUAGGUGGUUUGUCGCGUUGUUCGUGAAAACUCACAACUCAAUUGUGGGCGUGCGGGCGAUACGGGCAGACUGGAGUACUGCAGGGGAGACUGGAAUUCCUGGUGUAGCGGUGGAAUGCGCAGAUAUCAGGAGGAACACCGGUGGCGAAGGCGGGUCUCUGGGCCGAUACUGACGCUGAGGAGCGAAAGCCAGGGGAGCAAACGGG